UUUAGUAACGUUACAUCUGUUAUAUCCUGGAAGAAAUAGCACAUUUGUCCUUUUCUUAAUUUCGUAUUAUUCAUAGGAUUGAUGAGAUUAGUCAAUGUUGUGUAUGAGAUAUAAAUCUCAACAAAUGAAUUAAAAUAGGCAAUAAGAGAGGUAUAAUGAUACCAAAUCUAUGUUCUUUAAUAAACGUCUUCCUUUUAUCCCAUCUUAAUGGAAAUCGGGAUUUACAAAAGCCUGCUGACAUCAAGCAUUUAUACGAAGGGUUAAACACUGGGCUAUAAAAAAAAUUCCCGUAAGAAAAAUGGUUUUGCUACAAUGGUUUCAACAUUCUCAUUUAAAAUCAGCCUUUUGCAAAUCAUAUGGAUAUUAUAAUGAGUUAUGGUAGUUGUGUAUUAUAUUAACUGUAUGUUAAUGAGUUAUGGUAGUUGUGUAUUGACUAACUGUAUGUUAAUGAGUUAUGGUAGUUGUGUAUCGUGUAACUGUAUGUUAAUGAGUUAUGGUAGUUGUGUAUUGUUUAACUGUGUACUAAUGAGUUAUGGUAGUUGUGUAUUGUUUAACUGUAUGUUAAUGAGUUAUGGUAGUUGUGUAUUAUUUAACUGUAUGUUAAUGAGUUAUGGUAGUUGUGUAUUGUCUAACUGUAUAUUUAUGAGUUAUGGUAGUUGUGUAUUAUUUAACUGUAUGUUAAUGAGUUAUGGUAGUUGUGUAUUGUCUAACUGUAUGUUAAUGAGUUAUGGUAGUUGUGUAUUAUUUAACUGUAUGUUAAUAAGUUAUGGUAGUUGUGUAUUGUCUAACUGUAUAUUUAUGAGUUAUGGUAGUUGUGUAUUAUUUAACUGUAUGUUAAUAAGUUAUGGUAGUUGUGUAUUGUCUAACUGUAUGUUAAGGUAACGACGGAUAGCAACCACGUGAUGAGUAAAAAUUGUGUAUUUUCACGUGAAUUCAUUUUCCGGAAUUCCUUACUCCGUCAUAGAAUAGUCGAAAAACAAAAAGGGGUUCCGAAAGUGUUUUGUUGCUGUGACUGACUCGCCUAGAGAAAAUAUGCACAUACCACAUAAGUAUACGUCAAUAUCUGUAAUGGUAGAUCAAAUGUUUCAUCUGUGUGAAACUUUUUGCUAAUCGAAAUGUUAAACCAACCACCAAUCCAUGUACAUAGAUGCGCUACGUAAACAAAGUUGUUGGUUGAUACAUCGUAAUGUCCGAGUGCAGCAUGCUGCGAGAUUAAAUACUGUUUAUACAGUCAUUGAGAGGCUAAACAAAGUUUCUUGCAAGAAGAGGAAGUUGGUGGAUGUAUUCAACUUGGACAACGAAAUCAUAGUUUCGUUUGGCAUCAGCCUGAAGACCAAGGGAGGUUAGAUAGGACCAGUGCAGGUUGAAGUGGAUUUCGAGUCAACAAGUAUAACAGCAAGAGAGGUACUCCAUUUACAGUGAUGAUGACAUAUCCCCUGGACCCCCACAACUCCACAAAUUUAAAAAUGUUUGAUCAAGUUCAAAGAUUAAAGAACUACUGCAAAAUUUGGGACUUGGAUGAAAAACAUUAAUUCACUUAUAUGAGCUCAGAUCAGUGGAUGUUGUACAACAUACUUUAAACUAAAUUGUGAAUUUAAGGGAAAACAAGUACAUGUACUCGUGUAUUACAUGUACAUGUCUUUUGAAAGACAAUGAUAUUGCAUAAAUUUCAAUGUUGAUUAUUCUUUCUUAGAUAUAUUAGUAAAAAAUGUCCACAUGAUAGA